rnacentral:tRNA from 1 species
GAGCUCAUAGUUCAAUGGUUAGAACAUAGCGCUCAUAACGCUAGUGUUGCGGGUUCAAUUCCUGCUGAGCUCA